GACCACUAAAUGACAUUGUGUAGUGUAUAUGUUGUAGCUUGUAUCUACACAUGUAUCAGACGUACACGGAAGGUCGUUUAGUAUCCUCUAUUCUGACCACUAAAUGACAUUGUGUAGUGUAUAUGUUGUAGCUUGUAUCUACACAUGUAUCAGACGUACACCUUUUUCACUUUACAGCAUACACAUGAACACUGACUAUGUUUCCACAAUGUCGCGCUUCCAACACAAACUGUAACAUUAUGUUAAACCGUAUUUAGGGAUACGGUGACAAUAAUUGGUGCACUAAUACCCAACCCCUUUGUCUUUGUCUUUUUGCGUGAGUGAGUGAGUUAACAUUUUAACGUCAUAUCGGCAAUAUUUCACACAUAUCUUGACGGUAACAUUUUAUGCAAUAACAUAUGAAAACAUUUUAAAGAAUGAAACCUGUCGGCGAUGGACAGUAAAAUACUAGAGGAUCACAUAUAUGAAUAUAAAAACUAGCAUGUUAAACUAAAACAUUUUAAUUAAAGAAGACAAUACAAUGUAUAACAUGUUAUAUAGUUCGCCAACAACUAUGAGGAUUUACAAUGCCUGCAUGGACUCUAGCUGCAUUUAUCCCGUGUCAUUUACUUCAUUGCGGGUAAACUUUUAAAAAUUGAUUGUUUAAUUUUGUUUCGAUAUCCAUAGCGGUUUAACCUUUUCAAGAUUGAUUGGUUGUUUCCAUAGUUACGAGGAACAAGCCAUUCGAUUGAUUGUAGAUUUUACAGGUAAGGUUAGUUGAUGAUAGAGA